rnacentral:lncRNA from 1 species
GGGAGGGUCAACUACAGAUUGGCUUUGGCUGCGUUACUCUAAGCCUGCGACUGAACAGCUGGGCCCAUGCCUGGCUCUCUUGUUCACGCUUGACUCUACAAAUGUCUAGUGCUGGCUUAAAACUGGCAUGUGAUGAGAAAUAACUCAGUUGAUUUGACCAUUUGAAUCAUCCCGAAAGCAAGGGGGCACAGUAGAGCACCCCACCUCCUGUUUCCCCAAACCUCGCCAAACAAAGGGAACAAGGAGGGCAAGUCUGGGCCCACGCGUUCAGGUACAUUUUACCUUGAAGCACUCUGGCUGUCUUUUAUGCACACUGGGAACUUGGACAAGUUGGUAUUUUCUGUAGAAAGCUACUUUCUUGUAAGUGAACCAAGACAGUUGUUCCUUGGGAUGUUGGUCAGAUAAGGAAACUAAGCAAAUGAAUGGUAAUGACAUCACUGCUUCUGCAGCCUAACAUAUAAAGUCCCUUUCUGAGCGGGGACUGGCGUGGAACUGAGGGCGCUGUGGAAAGGAUAUAUGUCACUUGUCCAGCUGUCACCUCUGGACACCCUGUUUUCACCCUGUUGCCCCUGAACUCUUCUUGGAGCUGCCACUGAUCUCUCCCAAGCUUUCCUUCACCAAUAAACCACGCCUCUCAUGCUGUCUCUAGGUAGUUUCUCUGGCUUGUCUGCAACCUCGCCCACCAGCCUGGCACAACAGAGCUGUGG